GACGGAGGAUGCAAGUGUUAUCCGGAAUCACUGGGCGUAAAGCGUCUGUAGGUUGUUUAAAAAGUCUGUGGUUAAAGGUUGAAGCUUAACUUCAAAAAUGCCGUAGAAACUUUUAAACUAGAGGAUGGUAGGGGUAGAGGGAAUUUCCAGUGGAGCGGUGAAAUGUGUAGAUAUUGGAAAGACCACCGAUGGCGAAGGCACUCUACUGGGCCAUGACUGACACUGAGAGACGAAAGCUAGGGGAGCAAAUGGG
rnacentral:rRNA from 1 species